rnacentral:rRNA from 1 species
UACGUAGGGCGCAAGCGUUGUCCGGAAUUAUUGGGCGUAAAGAGCUCGUAGGCGGUUUGUCGCGUCUGCUGUGAAAACCUAAGGCUCAACCUUGGGCUUGCAGUGGGUACGGGCAGACUGGAGUGCGGUAGGGGUGACUGGAAUUCCUGGUGUAGCGGUGGAAUGCGCAGAUAUCAGGAGGAACACCGAUGGCGAAGGCAGGUCUCUGGGCCACUACUGACGCUGAGAAGCGAAAGCGUGGGGAGCGAACAGG